AACGAACGCUGGCGGCAUGCCUAACACAUGCAAGUCGAACGAUAUCCUCAGGGGUCUGGUGGCGCACGGGUGAGUAAGGCGUUGGUACAUGCGCACGGGCCCGGUAUUACAGUUAGACUUCUCUGCUGAUACCGGAAGACGACGUUAAGUCUAAGGAUUUAUCGCCUGGGGAUGGGCCCGAGUAGGUAUAGCUAGUUGUUGUGGUAGAGGCGCACCAAGGUGACGUUCCUUAGCUGGGCUUAGAGGAUGAUCAGCCACACUGGGACUGAGACACGGCCCAGACUCCGACGGGAGGGAGCAGUGGGGAAUAUUGGACAAUGGGCGCAAGCCUGAGCCAGCAAGGCCGCAUAAGUGAUGAAGGCGGAAGGGUUGUAAAGCUCUUUUACCCGGGAGGAUAAUGACAUAACCGAAAGAAUAAGCCCCGGCUAACACCG
rnacentral:rRNA from 1 species